UACGAAAGGGGGCUAGGCGUUGCUCGGAAUCACUGGGCGUAAAGCGCACGUAGGCGGAUUGCUAAGUCAGGGGUGAAAUCCUGGAGCUCAACUCCAGAACUGCCUUUGAUACUGGCGACCUUGAGUCCGGGAGAGGUGAGUGGAACUGCGAGUGUAGAGGUGAAAUUCGUAGAUAUUCGCAAGAACACCGGUGGCGAAGGCGGCCCACUGGUCCGGUACUGACGCUGAGGUGCGAAGCGUGGGGAGCAAA
rnacentral:rRNA from 1 species